rnacentral:rRNA from 1 species
AGAGUUUGAUCCUGGCUCAGGAUUAACGCUGGCGGCGUGCAUAACACAUGCAAGUCGAACGAUGAAACUUUAAUGAACCCUUCGGGGAGAAUUAAAGCGGAUUAGUGGCGAACGGGUGAGUAACGCGUGAGUAACCUGCCUUACACAAGGGGAUAGCCUUUGGAAACGAAGAAUAAUACCCUAUAAAACCAUAAAAGCACAUGCAAUUAUGGUCAAAGUAUUAGCGGUGUAAGAUGGACUUGCGUCUGAUUAGCUAGUUGGUGAGAUAAAAGCCCACCAAGGCAACGAUCAGUAGCCGGCUUGAGAGAGUGUACGGCCACAUUGGGACUGAGACACGGCCCAGACUCCUACGGGAGGCAGCAGUGGGGAAUUUUGCACAAUGGGGGAAACCCUGAUGCAGCGACGCCGCGUGAUUUAGAAGGCCUUCGGGUUGUAAAAAUCUUUUGUAUAGGAAGAAAAUGACAGUACUAUACGAAUAAGGUCCGGCUAAUUACGUGCCAGCAGCCGCGGUAAUACGUAAGGACCGAGCGUUGUCCGGAAUCAUUGGGCGUAAAGGGUACGUAGGCGGCUAGAAAAGUUAAAAGUCAAAGGCUAUAGCUCAACUAUAGUAAGCUUCUAAAACUAUUUAGCUUGAGAGAUGGAAGGGAAAGUGGAAUUCCUAGUGUAGCGGUGGAAUGCGCAGAUAUUAGGAGGAAUACCGGUGGCGAAGGCGACUUUCUGGCCAUUUUCUGACGCUGAGGUACGAAAGCGUGGGUAGCAAACAGGAUUAGAUACCCUGGUAGUCCACGCCGUAAACGAUGAGUGUUAGUGUCUGGAGUCAAAUCUGGGUGCCGCAGCAAACGCAUUAAACACUCC